UAGUCCACGCCCUAAACGAUGCUUACUCGGCAUUGGCGAUAUACAGUCAGUGCCUAAGGGAAACCACUAAGUAAGCCACCUGGGGAGUACGUUCGCAAGAAUGAAACUCAAAGGAAUUGACGGGGGUCCGCACAAGCGGUGGAGGAUGUGGUUUAAUUCGAUGAUACGCGAGGAACCUUACCUGGGCUCGAAUUUAGAGAGCUCGAUGCCGAAAGGUGUUUUUAUCUUCGGAUACUGUCUAGAAGGUGCUGCAUGGUUGUCGUCAGCUCGUGCCGUGAGGUGUUGGGUUAAGUCCCGCAACGAGCGCAACCCCUAUCUUUAGUUGCCAGCGAGUAAUGUCGGGGACUCUAAAGACACUGCCUGUGCAAGCAGAGAGGAAGGAGGGGACGACGUCAAAUCAUCAUGGCCCUUACGCUCUGGGCUACACACGUGCUACAAUGGUCGUGACAAAGAGUUGCUAGUCUGCGAAGGCAAGCCAAUCUCAUAAAACGCGGCCUUAGUUCGGAUUG
rnacentral:rRNA from 1 species